UCCAGACUCCUACGGGAGGCAGCAGUGGGGAAUAUUGCGCAAUGGGGGCAACCCUGACGCAGCAACGCCGCGUGAUUGAAGAAGGCCUUCGGGUUGUAAAGAUCUUUAAUCAGGGACGAAAAAUGACGGUACCUGAAGAAUAAGCCCCGGCUAACUAUGUGCCAGCAGCCGCGGUAAUACAUAGGGGGCAAGCGUUAUCCGGAAUUAUUGGGUGUAAAGGGUGCGUAGACGGAAGAACAAGUUGGUUGUGAAAUCCCUCGGCUCAACUGAGGAACUGCAACCAAAACUAUUCUCCUUGAGUGUCGGAGAGGAAAGUGGAAUUCCUAGUGUAGCGGUGAAAUGCGUAGAUAUUAGGAGGAACACCAGUGGCGAAGGCGACUUUCUGGACGAUAACUGACGUUGAGGCACGAAAGUGUGGGGAGCAAACAGGAUUAGAUACCCUAGUAA
rnacentral:rRNA from 1 species